GAUGAACGCUGGCGGCGUGCCUAAUACAUGCAAGUCGAGCGAAUGGAUUAAGAGCUUGCUCUUAUGAAGUUAGCGGCGGACGGGUGAGUAACACGUGGGUAACCUGCCAUAAGACUGGGAUAACUCCGGGAAACCGGGGCUAAUACCGGAUAACAUUUUGAACCGCAUGGUUCGAAAUUGAAAGGCGGCUUCGGCUGUCACUUAUGGAUGGACCCGCGUCGCAUUACCUAGUUGGUGAGGUAACGGCUCACCAAGGCAACGAUGCGUAGCCGACCUGAGAGGGUGAUCGGCCACACUGGGACUGAGACACGGCCCAGACUCCUACGGGAGGCAGCAGUAGGGAAUCUUCCGCAAUGGACGAAAGUCUGACGGAGCAACGCCGCGUGAGUGAUGAAGGCUUUCGGGUCGUAAAACUCUGUUGUUAGGGAAGAACAAGUGCUAGUUGAAUAAGCUGACACCUUGACGGUACCUAACCAGAAAGCCACGGCUAACUACGUGCCAGCAGCCGCGGUAA
rnacentral:rRNA from 1 species